UACGAAGGGUGCAAGCGUUACUCGGAAUUACUGGGCGUAAAGCGUGCGUAGGUGGUGAGUUAAGUCUGUCGUGAAAGCCCCGGGCUCAACCUGGGAAUGGCGAUGGAUACUGGCUCGCUAGAGUGCGGUAGAGGAGAGUGGAAUUCCUGGUGUAGCGGUGAAAUGCGCAGAUAUCAGGAGGAACACCGGUGGCGAAGGCGGGUCUCUGGGCCGAUACUGACGCUGAGGAGCGAAAGCGUGGGGAGCAAACAGG
rnacentral:rRNA from 1 species